GACGAACGCUGGCGGCGUGCUUAACACAUGCAAGUCGAACGGAAAGGCCCUGCUUUUGUGGGGUGCUCGAGUGGCGAACGGGUGAGUAACACGUGAGUAACCUGCCCUUGACUUUGGGAUAACUUCAGGAAACUGGGGCUAAUACCGGAUAGGAGCUCCUGCUGCAUGGUGGGGGUUGGAAAGUUUCGGCGGUUGGGGAUGGACUCGCGGCUUAUCAGCUUGUUGGUGGGGUAGUGGCUUACCAAGGCUUUGACGGGUAGCCGGCCUGAGAGGGUGACCGGCCACAUUGGGACUGAGAUACGGCCCAGACUACUACGGGAGGCAGCAGUAGGGAAUAAUGCACAAUGGGCGGAAGCCUGAUGCAGCAACGCCGCGUGCGGGAUGACGGCCUUCGGGUUGUAAACCGCUUUCGCCUGUGACGAAGCGUGAGUGACGGUAAUGGGUAAAGAAGCACCGGCUAACUACGUG
rnacentral:rRNA from 1 species